UGCAUCUUUGAUAAAGGGUGUCAUGGGUGAAACUACGGUAUGCUAAUCAAGAGAAAGACCUUGGAGGACGAAAAGGUAUAAAGACUGACAGAAAAAGAGAGAGAGAUUGCAAUCCAGCGUUUGGAAAAUGGAGCUGUCAGAAGAGGGGCAGCAUAUUAACAAGCCAAAACCCCGAAUUACCUCACAAAAUGAAGGAGUUUAACAGGUGUCUCUAUGUAUUUCCAAUUGGACCUCCAUCUCCAAAAUUGAGGCGCCACUGACGGUCCUAACUGCGGCCAGCUAAAUAGCAGCUUUCGUCAGGACUUCCUCAGGGACCCGUGGCUUACUAGAUGGAAGUAAUCAAAAGCAUCUAACAGCUGACGUUCACAAUAAAGUUUUUUAUACAAUAAAGCUUUUCAACAAGAAGUUUUUUGUUAUUACAUAAUCCAUCAAUGUAAUAAACGUG